rnacentral:rRNA from 1 species
GAGUUUGAUCCUGGCUCAGGAUGAACGCUGGCGGCGUGCUUAACACAUGCAAGUCGAGCGAAAAUAAUUGAGAGCUUGCUUUUGAUUAUUUUAGCGGCGGACGGGUGAGUAACGUGUGGGUAACCUGCCUUUUACUGUGGAAUAAUCGUUGGAAACGACGACUAAUACCGCAUACGGUUCUUGGAAGGCAUCUUCUAAGAAAGAAAGGAUUUAUUCGGUAAAAGAUGGGCCCGCAUCUGAUUAGCUAGUUGGUGAGAUAAUAGCCCACCAAGGCAACGAUCAGUAGUCGACCUGAGAGGGUGACCGGCCACAUUGGGACUGAGACACGGCCCAAACUCCUACGGGAGGCAGCAGUGGGGAAUAUUGCACAAUGGGCGAAAGCCUGAUGCAGCAACGCCGCGUGAAGAGAAGACGGUUUUCGGAUUGUAAACUUCUAUCAAUAGGGAAGAAAGAAA